rnacentral:piRNA from 1 species
UGGGUAUUUGUAGUGUUUACCUCGUCUUCCC